GUGAAAUUCCGUCGGAAUCUGGGAGGACCAUCUCCUAAGGCUAAAUACUCUCUAGUGACCGAUAGUGAACCAGUACCGUGAGGGAAAGGUGAAAAGCACCCCGGAAGGGGAGUGAAAUAGAACCUGAAACCGUGUGCUUACAAGUAGUCAGAGCCCGUUAAUGGGUGAUGGCGUGCCUUUUGUAGAAUGAACCGGCGAGUUACGAUUUGAUGCAAGGUUAAGCAGUAAAUGUGGAGCCGUAGCGAAAGCGAGUCUGAAUAGGGCGUUUAGUAUUUGGUCGUAGACCCGAAACCAGGUGAUCUACCCUUGGUCAGGUUGAAGUUCAGGUAACACUGAAUGGAGGACCGAACCGACUUACGUUGAAAAGUGAGCGGAUGAACUGAGGGUAGCGGAGAAAUUCCAAUCGAACCUGGAGAUAGCUGGUUCUCUCCGAAAUAGCUUUAGGGCUAGCCUCAAGUGAUGAUUAUUGGAGGUAGAGCACUGUUUGGACGAGGGGCCCCUCUCGGGUUACCGAAUUCAGACAAACUCCGAAUGCCAAUUAAUUUAACUUGGGAGUCAGAACAUGGGUGAUAAGGUCCGUGUUCGAAAGGGAAACAGCCCAGACCACCAGCUAAGGUCCCAAAAUAUAUGUUAAGUGGAAAAGGAUGUGGCGUUGCCCAGACAACUAGGAUGUUGGCUUAGAAGCAGCCAUCAUUUAAAGAGUGCGUAAUAGCUCACUAGUCGAGUGACACUGCGCCGAAAAUGUACCGGGGCUAAACAUAUUACCGAAGCUGUGGAUUGUCCUUUGGACAAUGGUAGGAGAGCGUUCUAAGGGCGUUGAAGCAUGAUCGUAAGGACAUGUGGAGCGCUUAGAAGUGAGAAUGCCGGUGUGAGUAGCGAAAGACGGGUGAGAAUCCCGUCCACCGAUUGACUAAGGUUUCCAGAGGAAGGCUCGUCCGCUCUGGGUUAGUCGGGUCCUAAGCUGAGGCCGACAGGCGUAGGCGAUGGAUAACAGGUUGAUAUUCCUGUACCACCUAUAAUCGUUUUAAUCGAUGGGGGGACGCAGUAGGAUAGGCGAAGCGUGCGAUUGGAUUGCACGUCUAAGCAGUAAGGCUGAGUAUUAGGCAAAUCCGGUACUCGUUAAGGCUGAGCUGUGAUGGGGAGAAGACAUUGUGUCUUCGAGUCGUUGAUUUCACACUGCCGAGAAAAGCCUCUAGAUAGAAAAUAGGUGCCCGUACCGCAAACCGACACAGGUAGUCAAGAUGAGAAUUCUAAGGUGAGCGAGCGAACUCUCGUUAAGGAACUCGGCAAAAUGACC
rnacentral:rRNA from 1 species